rnacentral:lncRNA from 1 species
GAAAUCCUCCUAACUUCCACAAGGGCUGAGUACUGCUGACAUUGGGAAUGCUGACUUCAGUCUGCUUGCCAUUCUAAUUCCCCUAGUAAAUUAGUCUACCCACACUCAGACUUACCACGUCUUACUUAAGUUCUUGCUUGAGUGAGAUGAUGAGUGGUUUUUCUUUUUCUCCUGUCCACUCCUCACACCCCUUGAAGCAGGAAACAUUCAAAGUUUCGGUAAUGGGUGUGGGGUAGGUGCAGGGUUUCCGUAAACAGAAGUCAAGACCUGAGAAGAGAAAGAUGAUCUUAAGCAUUUUUUUUUUCCAUUUUGGCUAUGAUGCCUGACACAUGGGAUCUUAGUUCUCUGACCAGGGAUCAAACCCGUGCCCCCUGCAGGGGUCCUAACCACUGGAUUCCUAACCACUGGACCUCCAGGGAAGUCCCAAUAAGCUUACAGUUUAAUAAGGCGCCAGAGAGCCACUAGCAGGAAUUCAAGAUCUGACUGUCUUCUAGAUACAUCCCUACCACCCCUCUUCCCAACCAGAGCAGAAAGGUCAUUCACCCUUGCCUCCCGGGCUGGCCAGCUCCACUUCCCUUUCUCCUCAUCUUCUCUGCCGGUUUUUAAAAAUAGCUACGCACUAACAUUCUGGAAAUGAGAGGAACAUAUUUUUUUUUAACAUUUGGUAGCUAAAGUUACAAACAUUGAUAUCUGCAGCAGCAAGUUCUCGGUUUUGCCACUUGUUUUACUGCCAUGGAAUCAACUAACAUUGUCUAUGGGCUCCAAUGUGAGUAACAUAAAAAGUACGGUAUUACAGUACAACAGCUGGCAUCGAGUGACCAGGCAAGAAGAGUUACUGACUGGAGGAGGGAAGAUGGUAGAACUGAAGGAUCACCAGCAACAGGAGAUGGAGGGCAAGCUGCAACAUCACUCAUGCCUGACGUUGAUGGAACAUACAUUCCCAUCUUUGAAAGUUCAAAACGUGACGAUUUGUAUGUAGGGAACUUAUUAAUGCUUUUAUUAUAAACUGUUUUUGAACAAUAAAUAUACAGUAAUUUUAUUCUAAUUGGUGGAA